AGCCCAACUGGGAGGCAGACAUGCAAAGGCUGUCUACCUGGUCUCCCAGACCAGAACCACACCGGUGGGGGGCUGGGGGUUGGCAGAGGUCUCUGGGGUCGGCACCCCCAGGCACACUCUUCCUGCUGACUGCGAGGAAGGCUCUCUCAUCACAGUUGUCGGAGCCUGAGCAGCCUCCCUGGACGUCCAGUGGAAGAUCUCCACUUGGCAGACCAGGAAAUGAAGACCACAGAGGCUGGGUAACUCUUCCAAGGUCACCGAGGAGAAGCGGGCAGAACUUGGAUUUGGCCCCAGGUCUGCUGAACUCCGAAUGUCUGUGCCUCGUGUGGGGAACUAGCCUGUGUGUUCCCUGUGGGAGGCUGACCCGGUGAUUCCCUGCCCUUCUCGCUGCUCGGAUCACCCAACACGGCCACCAGCCAUGAAUCCUGCAAGAGUCUCAGACGGGUGUCCCCACUCCAACACCUGCCCUGGAAAAGACGGGCGAGCUGUCUACUUGAUGAAUUCCCACCCUGGACCCACCGUGGAGAUGUGCCUAGACCCUGCUCUCCAACACCCCUCCCCCGCCCCACCCCACAUCUCGGGAGCUCGGUCAAGAGACCAGCAGAGGCAGCGACAAAACCAGUGUUGGCGCAGGCCGGUCCCGACCCCCUUCUCUAAGCAGCAGAUCUGAUGGUGCUGUGGGGAGGAAAAAGGCGGGUCCUAGCCCAGGCGGCUCACCCCACAUGGGUACCGUUUGUCCAAGCUCUCGUCCCCUGUCCCCUUUGUCUGGGCUCCCCACAGCCGCUGCAGAGGCUGCCCUCCUCUCCCGACACCCUGUGUGAGGCCUGUGUGUGGCUGGGUCCCUCCGUCUGAGAGGUGUGAGUACACCCCUGAGCCUCCCACCGAGGGGAGCGGUGGGGCAGGACUCUGACGGGUGAAGGCGGCUGCGGACCCCUCCCGCAUCUUGUUCCUGCUGACUCACAAUGCCCAAGGUUGCUUUGCGAGCGCCCAUGCCACCCUGGGAAACCCAACCUCCCAGGGGCACCAGACAGGGCCCUGGCCAACAGCUUGGCGACCAACCGGCUGAAAGCACGCGGGACUAGGUAGGAGGUGGGACUUUGAGAGAGCAUCCAGUGAGAAGGCAGGAACCAGAAGGUUGUCACUGCCAUUAGAUAAUAAAAAGGAUGAGACUUGGGGCACCAGGUGGCUCAGUCAGUUAAGGGUCUGCCUUUGGCUCAGGUCAUGAUCUCGGAGUUCUGGAAUCAAGCCCUGCAUCGGGCUCCCUGCUCCGCAGCGAGUCUGCUUCUCCCUCUGCCUCUGCCCAGGCACACCCCCCCCAUCGCCACUCAUGCUCUCCCUCUCAAAU